rnacentral:rRNA from 1 species
AGAGUUUGAUUAUGGCUCAGGAUGAACGCUAGCGAUAGGCCUAACACAUGCAAGUCGAGGGGCAGCACAUGAAGUAGCAAUACGGAUGGUGGCGACCGGCGCACGGGUGAGUAACGCGUAUGCAACCUGCCUACAACAGGGGAAUAACCCGUUGAAAGACGGACUAAUACCCCAUAACACAGGGAUCCCGCAUGGGAAUAUUUGUUAGAGAUUUAUCGGUUGUAGAUGGGCAUGCGUUCCAUUAGCUGGUUGGUGAGGUAACGGCUCACCAAGGCAACGAUGGAUAGGGGAACUGAGAGGUUUAUCCCCCACACUGGUACUGAGACACGGACCAGACUCCUACGGGAGGCAGCAGUGAGGAAUAUUGGUCAAUGGACGCAAGUCUGAACCAGCCACGUCGCGUGAAGGAAGACGGCCCUACGGGUUGUAAACUUCUUUUGUAAGGGAAUAAAGUGCAGUACGUGUACUGUUUUGCAUGUACCUUACGAAUAAGGAUCGGCUAACUCCGUGCCAGCAGCCGCGGUAAUACGGAGGAUCCGAGCGUUAUCCGGAUUUAUUGGGUUUAAAGGGUGCGCAGGCGGGAGAUUAAGUCGGCGGUGAAAUUUUGCAGCUCAACUGUAAAAGUGCCUUCGAAACUGGUUUCCUUGAGUGUGGAUGAAGUAGGCGGAAUUUGUGGUGUAGCGGUGAAAUGCAUAGAUAUCACGAGGAACUCCGAUUGCGCAGGCAGCUUACUAAACCAUAACUGACGCUCAGGCACGAAGGCGUGGGGAUCAAACAGGAUUAGAUACCCUGGUAGUC